UUCUGUAGGUGAACCUGCAGAAGGAUCAUUAGUGAAAGUUUCGGGCCUGCCAUACGGACGCAAACACGGUCUCUGGCGCCCAUCACUAUAUCCAUACCAACCCCUGUGCACUGUGAUGACGAAUGUCAUCGAACAAAAAAAAACUCGUAUGGUUGAAUGUACGUGAAAUUGUAGGUAUAGCCUACGAACUAUACACAACUUUCGACAACGGAUCUCUUGGUUCUCCCAUCGAUGAAGAACGCAGCGAAACGCGAUAGGUAAUGUGAAUUGCAGAAUUCCGUGAAUCAUCGAAUCUUUGAACGCACCUUGCGCUCCAUGGUAUUCCGUGGAGCAUGCCUGUUUGAGUGCCGCGAAUUCUCCCUCCCCUUACGGUGGCCGAAAGGCCGAAGUAGGGCGGACGGGGUAGGAUGGGUGUUUGCUGCCUGGGGAUUGUACCAGGCUCGCCCGAAAUGCAUAAGCGCCAGGACCCUCGCUACCGCUCUCUAGGGAAGAGUGGCUAAGCGACCGCUGAGCAUGGCAUGAUACGUCAUUUGCUGUGUGUGGGCGGCCGGUUGGAGAGGUGUCUGCUUUACCAGCCCUAUUUUAAUUCUGGUCUCAAAU
rnacentral:misc_RNA from 1 species